rnacentral:rRNA from 1 species
UACGUAGGGGGCAAGCGUUAUCCGGAUUACUGGGUGUAAAGGGAGCGCAGACGGUCAAGCAAGUCUGAAGUGAAACCCCACCGCUCAACGGUGGGCUUGCUUUGGAAACUGUUUGAUUAGGGUACUGGAGAGGUAAGCGGAAUUCCUAGUGUAGCGGUGAAAUGCGUAGAUAUUAGGAGGAACAUCGGUGGCGAAGGCGGCUUACUGGACAGCAACUGACGUUGAGGCUCGAAGGCGUGGGGAGCAAACA